rnacentral:rRNA from 1 species
UACGUAGGGGGGCAAGCGUUUGUCCGGAAUCAUUGGGCGUAAAGAGCGUGUAGGCGGCUCGGUAAGUCUGCUGUGAAAGUCCAGGGCUCAACCCUGGGAUGCCGGUGGAUACUGUCGAGCUCGAGUCCGGAAGAGGCGAGUGGAAUUCCUGGUGUAGCGGUGAAAUGCGCAGAUAUCAGGAGGAACACCAAUGGCGAAGGCAGCUCGCUGGGACGUGACUGACGCUGAGGAGCGAAAGCGUGGGUAGCGAACAGG